AUGGCUCGUCGUGCUGCGGAGGCACUGCUCGUCCUCGGCUUCCUCUUCUUACCCCUCACGGCGUCGAGCUUCCUCGUCCCAGAGAGCCGGCGCCGGUCCGGCGAGACUGGCGACGAGGUGCUCGGCAUCGCCCUCGGCGCGACCCACUCGUGCAUUGCCGCCGUACACCGGGACGGCUCCAUCGAGAUCGUCCCUGACGACCGGGGCAACCGCGUCACCCCCGCGUGGGUCGCCUUCAUCGACGACGGCGAGAGGCUGGUCGGAGAGGCCGCCAGGGACCAGUACGCCGCCAACCCGAACCGCACCAUCUAUGGCGCCAGGCGCAUCCUGGGACGGCGGUUCAGUGACGCCGACCUGCAGCAGGACGUGGAGACCUUGCCGUACGCCGUCGUCGACCGGGACGGGAUGCCGUACGUCCGGGUGGAUGUGGGCGAGGACGACGUGCGGUUGCUCAGUCCCGUGGAGAUCACUGCCGCGGUGUUUGCGGACAUGAUGGACAGGGCGGCGGCCCACCUAGGCAGGAAGGUCACGCGGGCGGUGCUCACCGUCCCCGCCCACUACACCGACGCGCAGAUGUACGCUACCAAGGAGGCCGGCAUCCUCGCCGGGCUCGACGUCCUCCGCUUGGUAAGGGAUCCCGUCGCCGCCGCCAUCGCCAACGGCCUCGACAAGCAUAGGGGCGACCCCAGGAACAUGCUGGUGUUCGACCUCGGCGGCAGCACGCUCGACGUCGCUGUGCUCACCCUCGAUGAAGGCGUGUUCGAGACCAUGGCGAGCCGCAGCGACGCCCACCUCGGCGGUGACGACUUCGACCGGCGACUCGCGGGCUACUUCGCCGAGCUGUUCCAGCGCAAGCACGGCCGGGACGUCACCGGCGACGGACACGCGAUGCAGAGGCUGCUGCGGGAGUGCGAGCGCGCCAAACGGGCGCUGAGCGACCACGACCAGCACCAGGUGGGCGUGGAGGUCAAGGCGCUCUUGGACGGCGUCGACCUCUCGGAGACGCUCACCAGGGAGCUGUUCGAGGAGCUCAACCAGGACCUUUUCUUGAAGACGAUGGCUCCGUUGAACAAGGCCAUGGAGGACGCCGAGCUGGAGAAGGGAGACAUCCACGAUGUCAUCCUCGUGGGCGGCGGCAGCAGGAUCCCCAUGGUGCAGCAGCUUGUCAAGGACUACUUCGACGGCAAGGAGCCCGUCAACGUCGACGGGAUCAACCCCGACGAGGCCGUCGCCUACGGGGCCGCCGUUCAGGGGAGCCACCUGACUGGACACCAUGACGACGACGACAAGGUGUUUUUUGGCAUAGUUGACGUGCCGCAGCCCGCUAUCGGCAUCGAAGCUGCCGACGGGGCAAUGGUGAAGCUGAUCCGGAGGGACGCCGGCUACCCGGCCAAGGGGACGCAUGUCAUCACCACGUACUGGGACAAGCGGACCACCAUGGCAGUCAAGGUGUAUGAGGGCGACCGAACUGAGGUCAAGGAUAACAGACUCCUCUGCCAGCUUGACCUCUCUGAAAUCCCACCUGCAAGUAUAUGGAAUUGGGGAAGGCGGGACAUCGAGGUGACCAUCGAGGUGGACCAGGCGGGCACGAUCCACGCCGAGGCGACGGAUAAGGCCUCCGGCAAGUCGGCCAAUACCAGCUAUGGUUAUCAUCAUCGGCGGCUGAGUCAGGAAGAGAUUGACGCUAUGAUGCGUGAAGCGGACGAGUUCGCCAGGGACGCCAAAGCUAGGCUGGAGGCCUACGUGCACAGCAUCAAGGAGACCCUUGCCGCUGCUGGUGACAUGGAGCUGGAGGAGAAGAGGAGGGGGGAGGUGGAGGGUGAGGUGAUGGCGGUGAGCAAGUGGCUCGACGGAAACACAGAGAACGCCGAGGAGGGGGACUAUGAGAAGAAGCUCUGGGAGUUGCAGGGCAUAUGCGACCCUGUCAUCUCGGCCAUGCAAACAAGGUUGGGAGGUGGCCUCGAUGACUACGAGGAUGAGCUUUAG
rnacentral:rRNA from 1 species